UUAUGGCUUGAGUCCUGAAUCCUGAAUGUGCCGCUUUGAUCUGAUCUCAGAAGCUAAGCAAGGCUGGGUGUGGUUAGUACUUGGAUGGGAGACCGCCUGGUAAAACCAAGAACCAUGUU
rnacentral:rRNA from 1 species